rnacentral:rRNA from 1 species
GUGGGGGAUAUUGCACAAUGGAGGGAACUCUGAUGCAGCGACGCCGCGUGAGCGAAGAAGGGAUUCGUUUCGUAAAGCUCUGUCCUAUGGGAAGAAAAAAGACAGUACCAUAGAAGAAAGCCCCGGCUAACUACGUGCCAGCAGCCGCGGUAAUACGUAGGGGGCGAGCGUUGUCCGGAAUAAUUGGGCGUAAAGGGUUCGUAGGCGGCUAAAAAAGUCAGAUGUGAAAUAUAAUGGCCCAACCAAUAUAAGCAACUGAAACUAAAUAGCUUGAGAGAAGGAGAAGUAAGUGGAAUUUCUAGUGUAGCGGUGAAAUGCGUAGAUAUUAGGAAGAAUACCAGUGGCGAAGGCGACUUACUAGACUUCAACUGACGCUGAGGAACGAAAGCGUGGGUAGCAAACAGGA